rnacentral:lncRNA from 1 species
GAGGUCAAAUAAACCUAAAGUAUAUAGGUGGUUCCUUAGGCUAGGUCAUAUUGGAGAAGUAAUUUAUCGAUUGAAGAAAAAAUGGAUCUUUGGGCUCAUUGACUAUUGAGUCAUAUCUAGUCUAUGAAUUAUCUCUUUGAUGAUUAAUGAUCAACCUGCUCUUUGUGGGACAAGGAGAUAGGAUCGUUGAGAUACUUACUCUAAUACAUAUUUGAUGU